rnacentral:rRNA from 1 species
CCUACGGGUGGCUGCAGUGGGGAAUAUUGCGCAAUGGGGGAAACCCUGACGCAGCGACGCCGCGUGAGCGAAGAAGGCCUUAGGGUUGUAAAGCUCUGUUGUAAGGGAAGAAAGGCAACCGGAGUAAUAUGCUGGUUGUAUGACGGUACCUUACGUGGAAGCCCCGGCUAACUACGUGCCAGCAGCCGCGGUAAGACGUAGGGGGCGAGCGUUGUCCGGAAUUACUGGGCGUAAAGAGCACGUAGGCGGAUAUUUAAGUCAGUUGUGAAAGACCGCGGCUCAACCGCGGGGUUGCAAUUGAAACUGGGUAUCUUGAGGGCAGGAGAGGUCAGUGGAAUUCCUGGUGUAGCGGUGAAAUGCGUAGAUAUUGGGAGGAACACCAGUGGCGAAGGCGACUACCUGGACGAUAACUGACGCUGAGGCACGAAAGCUAGGGGAGCAAACAGGAUUAGAUACCCUUGUAGUC